rnacentral:lncRNA from 1 species
AAGAAUGAAAAAUGGCAGACCAAAACAGCGGUGAGAGAGGCCCACCUACCAACCCUGAGACACUUUCCAAAGCAACCAACUAUUGUCCAAUCAACACUUGACACAUGCAUGGAUCCUAUUGGUCGCCUUUACCAACGAUGGGUAGACUCAGCACGCUAUUGGUCACCAUUUCUUUGUCUUUCAACGUUUUCUUCAUUGGGUCCCUAUUCAUUUGGACCCUAAACGUUAGGACCUGGCAAAUCGCGGAUUUAAACCUGUUUUUUUUUCCAAAAAUGAUCCUCUUUUUGUUAUAUGUGUGCGUCCUUUAAAAAAGGGUGUGGUUCCAUAACAUUGCAAUCUUAAACAAUCCUAUUAACGUGCACCUUCAAAUUUUAUCAUAACAUAUGAUUUUGAUGUAAAAUAUUCUUAAGAUUAUUUUAAAAUUUAUUUUUAUGUCUAAUUGUAAAAGUUUAAAUUUCAAAAAUAAUUGAACUGAAGUAGAUCUAUAAACAUAUGAAAAUAUUGAAAAUUGACGGCCCAAAUAAUAUGUCGUAAGAUGCACUAUUUUUAAGACUCAUUUUUUAUUUUUAUUUUUUAUAGUCAUGCAUCUCGAUGUUGAAAUGAUCAAUCAAAAGGUUUUUCAACAUUAAAACAACUUUUCCGAUGAUUUUUGAAGUGCAUCUAUAGUUCUACAUUUUAAGGUUGCAACCUCAUAUAAACUUUUUCUUUUUAAAAAUAGCUGCAAAAAAAUGUGAUAUUUUGAAAAAAAGAUUUAGAACGAGUUAAAUUUAUAUUUUGAAAAAUAUGGUGUAAAUUUCUUUUCCUUUUAUUGGUUGUAAAAAAGAUUCUUGUUGAAAGUUAUGGC